rnacentral:piRNA from 1 species
UGGGGCUUUUUCUGAUUGUCAAGAUGC